CAGAGCUUCCCAUUCUCCCCUCAAACAGCCGCAAAAUGUUCUUCGAGCAAUCAAUCUUCUCUCAAAGGCGGGAAAUCUAGGCGGGAUGUUUAGAGAAAAGAGAGGAGUCCUAAUUAGGAUUCUUCGUAACCCAAACGAGAUCGAAGGCAAUAUAAAAGGGAUACUGCUCCUUUGAUCAAUUGACUACUCUCUCGUCUCCAUAAGGUGUUCUUCGGUCAAUUUUUUAGUGUUCAAUUUGCAAGAAGAUAAUGACUACCGGGAAGCUAUCCAAGUUGGAGCACUUUGAAACAGAUGAAAAGGCGAAGAGAUGAAGAUAGUGUCAAUCAAUGCAGACAAUUUGGAACAUGAGAAAUUUGAUGAAGAUGAUGAAUUUUGAUUCGCAAAGUGGUUUUGAGCAAUAAUUAGUUUAGGUUUUAGCUAGUCUUGGUAAACUAAUUUUUUUUAUUAACUAUUAUUAUUUUUGGGUAGAAUAUUUGUAGACUUUAUUUGGGUUAUGAUUUAGUACGAAGAUAUUA